rnacentral:lncRNA from 1 species
CGUCCCGGCCCGCGCCCCCUCCCCCCUGGCGCCCCUGCUCCCCUCCAGCCCCGCCCACUUGCCCCCUCCCCCCCAUCCAUCCACUCCCUGGCCCACCCCCGCGGCCUGGCUCUCGCCUAACCUCGCCCCCUAUGUCCCCGCGCCCUGCCCGCCGCCCCCGGCUCGCUUCCAGCCUCUGUCGGGACUUCCCCUCACCUGCCCGCGCUCCUCGAGGGACGGAGCCCUGUUCCGGCGGUCCCACUCCGGGGAAGGGGGGGCUUGUCGACCAACCCCCCAAGCUGCUCGUAAUUGACGAGAGGGGCCCACUUCCCGUGCGACCAGAGGAGGCCGGCUGGUGCUGGGGGUGGAGGUACAGAGGCUCCCGCUCUGGCCGGUCAAGACCUCGGAGAGAAGGUCGGGCAGUGCUGGCGACCCUGUCCACAGUCACUGUCCCCGGAGAUCAGAACCUCACCGGCGGGGUGCGGGCUGACCAACGGGGAGGAGGCCGGGCUCUGGCCACAGGACCCCCAGCUCUCCCCGAGGGCGGAAUCCAGACCGCCUCCCGUUAAGUAUAACCGGCCGCCGCGAGGGCUGGGACGUCCAGACCCCGGCGACUCGCUCAUUCCCUGCAGGGCGCGCUGGCCUUCGCUGUAAAUGGCAGUGUCCAGCCGUCCCAACAACAGCCGAGAAGAGCCAGGUCCACUUUGGGAACUUCAAAAUGCGAACAAAAGUGUCUUUCCGCCUGACCGUGAACACAAGAGUGAUUUUCAAUGGAAAUGUUAGGAAAGUAGAGAAAAGGAUUACAUCUUGGCAACUGUCCAUCAACUCUGAGGUAAAAAUAAACACGACUCACACCUCAGAGAGGGAGAGAAAAGAGAGAAACAGGCUCUGUCCCUUCUCGGAGGAAUAAAAAUGACAGACGAUCAUAACCGCAUUAGAGACUGAAGAGGUGAGGAAGUAAGGACUGAUUUGCAGACACAACCCCACCGCAGAUUAAAAACCAAUGCAGUGUAUACGGAGUGGAUAACUUUGAUGUCCACCGAGUCUUGGUUUUAAUUGUGGAAGAGAUUUAAGUGUUCUAAAUACAUUCAAUAGGAUCAUAGUUAUAAACUCUUCGGAGCACUUCAGACAUCCGACAUGAAAGAGCUCUGCAUUUUGGGGGCUUUUUCCCCUUUAAUCUACCACCCCAAUGAGCCCACCCCAAGUCUCUGAUGGACCCUUACAACUGGGUGAGACUGACAUGCAGCAGCCCCAGCACAGGCAGUGUGAUUUGAGGGCAUGCCGAAGGCUUUCCACCACACCAACGGCCCAGAAUUUUCCACCUCAUCACUGUGCCUCCUUCCAGUAAUUACCUAGUCACAUUUCCAGAUUUCAGGUGUCAUGUUGCUGUCUGACCUGCAGUACCCAGCAGAAACCGCUGAAAUUAGGUGAUAGAAGAUUUGGUUAUGUGAUGAUGCAAAGAGAGGAGAAAGAAUUCCAGAGCAUCAGGACACUGAAAUCAUGUUAAAGCACAUAGUUGAGAGGAGUGUGGAUGACAAGAAGGGAGGAGAGUUACGGCCAGCUAGAUAGCAGCACAAGGCUUCCGGUGCCAGGAGAAGAGACAGCUUGGAUAAUGCCAGCCCCACAAUUUUAAAGGCCAGCUCUGUGUUCUGACUUCGUAGGUCAAGGUGGGGAACCUGGGCCUCGGAGCACAGACCUCAAAGUUGCCGACGUCAGAUGACACUCGGUGGACCUCGAUCUCGCUCUCCCAGUCUUCAGCCAGAAGCGCACUGUGAACUCAUUGUGAACUUGCAAGGACUCACCAAGAAGCAUUCUCAUCUCCCUCCGUCCUGUCCUUCCGCUAAUCCAGCCACUUCUUCAUCCUCAGCUCUAAUCGCUACCCACUUGGCAUGUGCUUUCUGGAAUGUCGAAGUCUUUUUGUGUUUUUUUAGUAUUUCUAAAAGUUUAAUAACUUAGAUUGUUGAUAGAAUAGAAAGAACCUGAAAAACACAUUGAAAGUCCGAUUGAGCUUUCUUUUCAAAGCUUAUGACCUUAAAUUCUGCUAAGCUUAAAGUUUAUCUUCUUGUCCACAGUAGCCAUUUUUCACUUGUUGCAGGACCUAAAAUUAGAAUACUUUGAGAGUGAUUGUGCAAUGUAUUUGGCCUAAAUUUUAGCAAAUGUAUUUAUUUCAAGAUGUAAUUUCUUGUGUUUCUAUCAUUUCUAAAAUAAGUUGUAAAUUAAAAAGUGCACAAAGCCUUUUGAAGAUCUCUGUAUGCAACUGUGUAUGCACACAAAUGGGACUAAGAACUUAGCAUGUAAUCCUAGAUUCUUUUUUUUUUUAAAGAUUGGCACCUGAGCUAAAAACUGUUGCCAAU